GCGGCCAGGUACCUGCCAGGUGCGACCAGGCACUUCCAGGUGCGACCAGGUACCUCCCAGGUGCGGCCAGGCGCCGCCUCAUCUCUCAGUGGGCGACUGUAUUUAUUCUAAACCUAGACUGAGAGAUGACAGCUUCGAGUUUGAUCGGGAAGGAAACACCUCGCAUGCCAAGCACAAAGGGGCUUACUCGUUUCUUUCCUGCAGCGGCAGCUUUCACCCUCCCUCCUGUUUCUCCGCUUUCCCUCCUUUCCCUCCACCAUUCCCCGCCCACCCCUGCCCUUCCCGGGUGGGACACGUGAGCUGGUUUGCUGCCCGGAUGGAGGCUCUAGGGCUCCGCAGCUCCCAAGGCGCUCCCGGAUGAGUCUGCGACGCGUGGAGCGACAGCGCUGCGCCAGCCUCGUGGCCCACACCUGCGGCUUGAUGUGUUUCUUAAAGGGCCCUUCCCUCUUUCCCGCUGCAGCUGACCUCUCUUCAGCCUCCUCGCUCACCUUAGUUUCACCUUAUCCACGUUCUUGCGCUCUCAGUGUUUGUCCCCUACAACCCCUUUCCUUCCUGUACUGACUUUCACCAUUACCUUCUCUUCUUUCCUCUCAUUUACAUAUCUGUUUUUAUCUUCACUGUUUAGCUGGGGUCUCACCCCUUACCCCUGUCCCCAUUAACCCAGCCUUUUCCCUCCUUUUCUUCUCAAUGUUUUUGAACCCCUUUUCCUCAGCUAGCCAUGAGUAACACUUGACAGCGGUAGAACCUGGCUUACUUCUGGAACUAGAAGGAGAUCCUCGAAAUAACUAAAUUUAGGACACGCUUCGCCGACAUAUUAAACAGAGCACAGGAGAAAAGAGGAGCAUGAGAACCCAGAGGAAAUUGUACCUAUUCAGAAGUGUGGAGUGAGGAUAGAAGUGCCCAGAUUCAAAGGCAUCAUGAAGUGUCAUGACAAGAUAGAAAAGACUUUGAGCUGGCCAAGAAGGAAUUGGACAAAAUUAUGAGUGAGGUACAGCAAGUGGGAACAGUGUCACUGAACCCUAUCAACAGCAGAGCAUGAGAAUGUGAAUUCCUGUUGUUGGGGAGGCAAUGAAAUGAUAUGGGCCUUGAGAUGUCUAUGAAUCCUGACCCACCAUGGGUGCCAGUCUUCAAGAGGGUAAGCUGUGCUACCUUUUCACCCUUUGAAACCUGCUUGUUCUGCCCUUCACACAUUCCCACAAGUUAUUACUGCCUGGCUGAGAGAUUUCCUGUUUUACUUAUUUUCCCAUAAAGAAACCAUCUCUUAGCACUCAUGCCUUAAGGAGGACUAUGCCCUGCCAUCAGGGGAGUCUAAGACCAUGUGGUGACAUCAGGUGGUAUACCACAAACAUGGUCAGGUCAAUAAAUGCAUGGGUGCUCACAGCAAUAAAAGAUCUAUUAAUCAACAGGUAUUUUUAAAAAUAGCCACCAUUUAUUAAAGGUACUUAUC